AUUCAGUUGACGAGUUUCAAACAGGAUGAAGCGUGCGUCCUGAAU
rnacentral:hammerhead_ribozyme from 1 species